UACGUAGGGUGCAAGCGUUGUCCGGAAUCAUUGGGCGUAAAGCGCGCGUAGGUGGCUUCGUAAGUCCGUUGUGAAAGUCAAAGGCUCAACCUUUGAAUGCCGAUGGAUACUGCGAAGCUAGAGUACGGAAGAGGCGAGUGGAAUUCCUGGUGUAGCGGUGGAAUGCGCAGAUAUCAGGAGGAACACCAAUAGCGAAGGCAGCUCGCUGGGACGUUACUGACACUAAGGCGCGAAAGCGUGGGGAGUAAACAGG
rnacentral:rRNA from 1 species